CCCCGUCCUCUGUAUUCCCAGGACUGUCCAGAGGAGAAGCUCCCAGAGAACCAUCAGGAUAAAAAUCUGAUUGAUAUUAAGGUUGUGGUUAAAGUUAAACCAGAAGAGGAGACAGAUCAGCAGUAUACUGACUCCAGCAGGAGAAAUGCCCCCGAGAGAUGUCCCCGUCCUCUGUAUUCCCAG